rnacentral:rRNA from 1 species
GAAUUUUGGACAAUGGGCCAAAGCCUGAUCCAGCAAUGCCGCGUGCAGUAUGAAGGCCUUCGGGUUGUAAACUGCUUUUGUACGGAACGAAAAGCUUUGGGGUAAUACCCUGGUAUCAUGACGGUACCGUAAGAAUAAGCACCGGCUAACUAAUUACCAGCAGCAGCGGUAAUACGUAGGGUGCAAGCGUUAAACGGAAUUACUGGGCGUAAAGCGUGCGCAGGCGGUUUUGUAAGACAGAAGUGAACUCCCCCGGCUCAACCUGGGAACUGCCUUUGUGACUGCAAGGCUAGAGUACGGCAGAGGGGGGUGGAAUUCCGCGUGUAGCAGUGAAAUGCGUAGAUAUGCGGAGGAACACCGAUGGCGAAGGCAACCCCCUGGGCCUGUACUGACGCUCAUGCACGAAAGCGUGGGGAGCAAACA